rnacentral:rRNA from 1 species
UACGGGGGGGGCAAGCGUUGUUCGGAAUUACUGGGCGUAAAGGGCUCGUAGGUGGCCAACUAAGUCAGACGUGAAAUCCCUCGGCUUAACCGGGGAACUGCGUCUGAUACUGGAUGGCUUGAGUUCGGGAGAGGGAUGCGGAAUUCCAGGUGUAGCGGUGAAAUGCGUAGAUAUCUGGAGGAACACCGGUGGCGAAGGCGGCAUCCUGGACCGACACUGACGCUGAAAAGCGAAAGCCAGGGGAGCAAACGGG